GGCUGAGUAGAGAAGGUGGUAUUCUUGCCUGCCUCAUAAGCAGGAGACAUUGGUUCGACUCCAAUCUCAGCCA
rnacentral:tRNA from 1 species